UACGUAGGGAGCAAGCGUUGUUCGGAUUUACUGGGCGUAAAGGGCGCGUAGGCGGCGCGGUAAGUCACUUGUGAAAUCUCUGAGCUUAACUCAGAACGGCCAAGUGAUACUGCAGUGCUAGAGUGCAGAAGGGGCAAUCGGAAUUCUUGGUGUAGCGGUGAAAUGCGUAGAUAUCGAGAGGAACACCAGUGGCGAAGGCGAGUCCCUGGACAACUCCUGACACUGAGGCACGAAAGCUAGGGGAGCAAACAGG
rnacentral:rRNA from 1 species